rnacentral:tRNA from 1 species
CGGGGUGUAGCUCAGGGGGAGAGCGCCUGCUUUGGGAGCAGAAUGUCGUGGGUUCAAAUCCUACCACUCCGA